UAACAUUGUGAUAGAUGGACUCUGCAAGAAUGGGAUGCUUUCUGAUGCAAGAACUGUUAUGGGACUAAUGAAGAGCAAUGGAGUUACUCCUGAUACAGUUACUUAUAGUAGCUUACUUCACGGUU
rnacentral:miRNA from 1 species